rnacentral:rRNA from 1 species
GACGAACGCUGGCGGCGUGCUGAACACAUGCAAGUCGAACGCAAAGGCCCUGCUUUUGUGGGGUGCUCGAGUGGCGAACGGGUGCGUAACACUUUAGUAACCUGCCCUUGACUUUGGGAUAACUUCAGGAAACUGGGGCUAAUACCGGAUAGGGGCUCCUGAGGCAUGGGGGGUGUUGGAAAGUUUCGGCGGUUUGGUAUGGACUCGCGGCUUAUCAGCUUGUUGGUGGGGUAGUGGCUUACAAAGGCCUUGACGGGUAGCCGGCGCUGAGAGGGUGACCGGCCACAUUGGGACUGAGAUACGGCCCAGACUCCUACGGGAGGCAGGAGUGGGGAAUAUUGCACAAUGGGCGGCAGUCUGAUGAAGCCACGCCGCGUGCGGGAUGACGGCCUUCGGGUUGUAAACCGCUUUCGCCUGUGAAGAUGCGUGAGUGACGGUAAUGGGUAAAGAAGCACCGGCUAACUACGUGCCAGCCGCCGCCGUAA